rnacentral:rRNA from 1 species
AGAAGGGAAGCAGCACCGCUUCUCUCGCGUAAGCGAGAUGGGCUUAGCCCACGGUGUGAUGAGAGGAAACAGGCGUUUCCCCUCAUAGUUCGUUAGUGGCGGACGGGUGAGUAACACGUUGGUACCUGCCCUCUAGUGGGGAAUAACUGGCCGAAAGGUCGGCUAAUACCGCAUGUGAUCUACGGAUUAAAGCAGUAAUGCGCUAGAGGAGGGGCCUGCGUCCGAUUAGCUAGUUGGUGGUGUAAUGGACCACCAAGGCGACGAUCGGUAGCUGGAUCGAGAGGUUGACCAGCCACACUGGGACUGAGAUACGGCCCAGACUCCUACGGGAGGCAGCAGUAAGGAAUCUUCCACAAUGGACGAAAGUCUGAUGGAGCAACGCCGCGUGCAGGAUGACGGCCUUCGGGUUGUAAACUGCUUUUAUUUGGGAAGAUUAUGACGGUACCAAAUGAAUAAGGACCGGCUAACUACGUGCCAGCAGCCGCGGUAAUACGUAGGGUCCAAGCGUUAUCCGGAAUUACUGGGCGU